rnacentral:rRNA from 1 species
AUUGAACGCUGGCGGAAUGCUUUACACAUGCAAGUCGAGCGGCAGCGCGGGGGCAACCCUGGCGGCGAGCGGCGAACGGGUGAGUAACAUAUCGGAACGUACCCUGUCGUGGGGGAUAACUAUCCGAAAGGAUAGCUAAUACCGCAUACGACCUGAGGGUGAAAGCGGGGGAUCGCAAGACCUCGCGCGAUAGGAGCGGCCGAUAUCGGAUUAGCUAGUUGGUGGGGUAAAGGCUCACCAAGGCGACGAUCCGUAGCUGGUCUGAGAGGACGACCAGCCACACUGGAACUGAGACACGGUCCAGACUCCUACGGGAGGCAGCAGAGGGGAAUUUUGGACAAUGGGGGCGAACCCUGAUCCACGCCAUUCCGUCCGUGAGUGAAGAAGG